UUUGGCACUUCCAUCUCCCAGGAUCACGACUUUGUCUCUCGGUGGAGCAGUGGCUCCUGGCUGAGCCAUCGUAGGAAGAAAAUAUCCUGCAAAACAAGCAGAGAUGAUAUAGGUGUAGGGGAUGCCUUGAGCCUCAAUUGCUCUGCGGAUUUUAGCUUUUUCGGCAAAGUUAGUUUUUGCAGGCUCCACGACAUUUGUACGAUCCACAUCAUUUCCGAACUCUGAGGGAAUGAAUCUCUGUAAUCAUGAGCGAAAGCAAGGCACAUCAAAAAAAAUAAUUCAGGAGUGGAUUAGAAAAUAUUGGGAAAUAUAGGCGAACCUUGACGUUUCCAGCUUCUUUAAUAGCAUCAAGAAUCUUGGAUUGAUCAAGUAUCUGUCCGAAAGUCACCGCUGAGAUGACCACGUCCACUUGCUUAAUGGCCUUUACUAAACUCUCAUGAUCAUGGAGAUCUCCCUGCACAUACCAAAUGAAAUUCAACUAUAUACAAAUAAACAUGUUCAUUUGUGGACAGUCGAUUUUAACAUAAAUUGGCCUUACAUAGACGACUGUAACUCCGGAGNUGGCGCACUAUGUAACUCCAUACAAGGAGUCACUCUCCGGAAUGUUGGCCGACAUAUGUAUGCCACAACAUAAUGGCUGUAGACCUCCAAAAUCAUAAACUGAUAUAUUUCGACAAAAUCAGUGUAAAAAAGACAAGCCAAUAAGCCAUACUUUGCGAUCAAUGGUUCAAUGUCACACAUAAAGUGUAAACAACAUCAACAUAAAAACAUUAUAAACUCAAAUAAAGAUAACAUACCAAACCAUGAGCAGGCUGUUUUAUAUCCAGUACUGACACUACUAGAGAACUACAGAGUACAAAGCGCACACACGCAUCCUUUAUUUAUUUUACUAAGAAACAUGACAAGUAGAUCAUCAUAGUAUUAUGAAUGAAGCUCAAACAAACUGCUGGAGGUAUUCGUCAACGGUUGUGUACUUGACAUCAGGGUAGAGCUGAGAAGCCUCGUGUCCAAAUGAAGCCUCUAUCUCGAAAUUGGUUUGAUCUCCCUUAACAAAUACCGCAUGGCUGAUUGAAAUUAUCAAAUUCAUCGGUGGUGCUGACCCUGCAAAAUUACAUAAAAAAACCACAAACAAGUUCGGAUCAUGUUUCUGAUGCACUGAUAAUUUGGUAGUCGUUUGAUGGUUCUAGCUCUGUUGUCAUGUUAUUUCUAGAGGCUACUCACCUUGGAUUUGGUUUAGAACAUGCUCCUCUGGAACAUGAAUCUUUUCAAGAACCUUGUCGAUCUUCUUCUCCCACAAGGUAACUAGAUCGUUGAAGGAGUGGAUAUUGUGAGGAGGCUUGAUGUAGAGGGACUUGUUAACGGUUCUCGGGUCGUCCACUGUUUUAAUAGUGUAGGUGGCAAUAUCUUGUUCCAAGUUAAACACAGCUGCAACCCAGGAGAAACAGAAUUAUAGCCUUUCCCAAAUCAUGUUUAUUGAUACCUAAAGUCAUAAAGAAAAUAUUAGACAGAGUCACGGUACCUUUGGCACUUCCAUCUCCCAGGAUCACGACUUUGUCUCUCGGUGGAGCAGUGGCUCCUGGCUGAGCCAUCGUAGGAAGAAAAUAUCCUGCAAAACAAGCAGAGAUGAUAUAGGUGUAGGGGAUGCCUUGAGCCUCAAUUGCUCUGCGGAUUUUAGCUUUUUCGGCAAAGUUAGUUUUUGCAGGCUCCACGACAUUUGUACGAUCCACAUCAUUUCCGAACUCUGAGGGAAUGAAUCUCUGUAAUCAUGAGCGAAAGCAAGGCACAUCAAAAAAAAUAAUUCAGGAGUGGAUUAGAAAAUAUUGGGAAAUAUAGGCGAACCUUGACGUUUCCAGCUUCUUUAAUAGCAUCAAGAAUCUUGGAUUGAUCAAGUAUCUGUCCGAAAGUCACCGCUGAGAUGACCACGUCCACUUGCUUAAUGGCCUUUACUAAACUCUCAUGAUCAUGGAGAUCUCCCUGCACAUACCAAAUGAAAUUCAACUAUAUACAAAUAAACAUGUUCAUUUGUGGACAGUCGAUUUUAACAUAAAUUGGCCUUACAUAGACGACUGUAACUCCGGAGGCUUUAAAGCUCUCAAUGAGCUUUCCUUUGACAGGGUCUGAAACUGCACUUUCUCUCACCAAGGCAAACGUCUGAUGGCCUUGUUUUGCAGCGGCUUCCACCAGGAAUUUGCCAAUGUAUCCGGUAGAUCCGAUGACUAAGAUCUUGCUUUUCUCUGCCAUGAUCUCUAUGUUUGAUUUAUGUGUAUACUUAGCUCCUAUAUAGUUUGAAGGUGCUUAGAAAGUUUUAUAGUCUUGGUUCGGAGAAGCAACUUAUCUAUUAUAUAGAUCAAGAUCAAAUGUCGAUGAUCUAGGUAAUGACAUCACUUAAAGCUAAUUGUCAACGUUAGUAUUUUAAAUGUACGGUAGCAUGUGAAUUCUUAUUAAGGACGAGCAUUGAGCAAUAUGGAUCGAAUCGAUUGACCAUAUUGGCAUACUGCUAAAAUCAAAGCGAAUAACAAAUUCACAAGUUCAUGACGAGGCUUCGCAGUAGCAAAACUAUGCCUGCAGUUGACUCAGGGUAAAAUUUAACCCAGUCGGUUGCUUUUAGUUGCAGCUUUUCUAUUUAAAUAUCCUGGCUUCAAGUCCAAUUAACGCUCAAGUCCGAUGUUAUAAAAGGUGAAGAGAAGACCUGAUUGAUGGAGGUAGGGUUUAAAGAAUAAUAAUAUACAUCUCUUCUACAUAUUCAUUUUUGAAUCAAAUUGAAAAUUUUGUUUUAACAAAAUAUAAUAAAUACAUAUAAAUUUAAAUAUAAUCAUCAAUCUGGACAUAUUCUAACACAUAAAAAUAAAAUCAACAAAUAUUUAUUUGAAAGAUGAAAAGAAAAAUGUUAAUUUCAUAGGCCAGAUAUGAUUUUAGCUUCCUCCCGAAACAAAAGUUCUCAAAAUGAUGAUCUUAACAAGUCGUGCGCUCUUGUUUAGUUCCUUCUCGUCCCAUUCACAUGUUAUCCCCAAAUGUUACAAUUACAUGAUAUCGAUCAAGUCUAAAAAUUCCUCAACUCAAAACGGGAAGCCAGCAGAAUUAUGAAAUUAUAGUGAUAUGAAACAUACAAGGAACUAGUGAUAGAACGUUUCCGAUAUCAAUAUUUAGUCAAUUAUAAACUGAUCAAACCAGUGUACAAACACAAGCCAACACUAUAGGGGCUGUUUGGGAAAAUUUAAAAAAAUGAUUCAUUGCUUAAAGUAAAGAAGUGUGUUACAAGUGAAAAUUAAAUAACUUAAUAAAGUGUUUGGAAAAUAAACAGAAAUUUUGAGAGAGAAGCGUGCUUCUCCUUAUUUACACAAACGGAUCAAGAAAAAUAGAAACCAGAAACAGCUUAUGCUUAUUCAAUACAAACAGACCCUAUGUAUGGGAUUAAUGUCAUACAAAAAGUCCAAACAACAUCAAACAUAAAAAAUGAUCAUCAUAUAAAGAUAAAUAGCCGGCCUUUAGGUAUUGAUUAGUGACUACCAAGUACAAAGCGCACCAUUUAUUUAUUUUGCUAAGAAAUAUUACAAGUAGACUAUCACAGUCUUAUGAAUGAAGCUCAAACAAACUGAUGGAGGUAUUCGUCAACGGUUGUGUACUUGACAUCAGGGUAAAGCUGAGAAGCCUCGUGUCCGAAUGAAGCCUCUAUCUGGAAAUUGGUUUGAUCUCCCUUGAUAAAUACCGCAUGGCUGAUUGCAGACAUAAAAUCCAUCGGUGGCGGUGUCCCUGAAAAUAACAUAAAAAAAUCACACAAAUUCAGAUCAUGUUUUCCGAUGCACUGAUAAUUUUGGUAGUAGUUUGAUCCAAGGUCCAGCUCUGUCAUGUCAUGUUAUUUCAAGAUGCUACUCACCUCCAAUUUGCUUUAAAACAUGCUCCUCUGGAACAUAAGUCUUUUCAAGAACCUUGUCGAUCUUCUUCUCCCACAAGGCAACUAGAUCAUUAAAGGAGUAGAUAUUGUGAGGAGGCUUGAUGUAGAGGCUCUUGUUCACUGUUCUUGGGUCGUCCACUGUUUUAAUGACGUACGUGGCAACAUCUUGUUCCAAGUUAAACACGGCUACAAUCCAGAAGAAACGAAAUUAUAGUCUUGCCUACAAUAUGUAGCUACAUUAAUUAGUUGCUCAUAAUGAAAAGAAGUGACAGAGACGAUACCUUUUGCAGUUCCAUCUCCCAGGAUAACGACUUUGUCUCUUGGUGGAGCAGUGGCUCCUGGCUGAGCCAUGGUAGGAAGAAAAAUUCCUGCAAAACAAGCAGAGAUGAUAUAGGUGUAGGGGAUGCCUUGAGCCUCAAUUGCUCUGCGGAUUUUAGCUUUCUCCGCGAAGUUAGUUUUUGCUGGCUCCACAGGAUUUGUACGAUCCACAUCAUUUCCGAAUUCAGAGGGAAUG
rnacentral:lncRNA from 1 species